rnacentral:rRNA from 1 species
CAUGCAAGUCGAGCGAACAGAUAAGGAGCUUGCUCCUUUGACGUUAGCGGCGGACGGGUGAGUAACACGUGGGUAACCUACCUAUAAGACUGGAAUAACUCCGGGAAACCGGGGCUAAUGCCGGAUAACAUAUAGAACCGCAUGGUUCUAUAGUGAAAGAUGGUUUUGCUAUCACUUAUAGAUGGACCCGCGCCGUAUUAGCUAGUUGGUAAGGUAAUGGCUUACCAAGGCGACGAUACGUAGCCGACCUGAGAGGGUGAUCGGCCACACUGGAACUGAGACACGGUCCAGACUCCUACGGGAGGCAGCAGUAGGGAAUCUUCCGCAAUGGGCGAAAGCCUGACGGAGCAACGCCGCGUGAGUGAUGAAGGGUUUCGGCUCGUAAAACUCUGUUAUUAGGGAAGAACAUAUGUGUAAGUAACUGUGCACAUCUUGACGGUACCUAAUCAGAAAGCCACGGCUAA